AUUGAACGCCGGCGGCAGGCCUAACACAUGCAAGUCGAACGGCAGCACAGAAGAGCUUGCUCUUUGGGUGGCGAGUGGCGGACGGGUGAGUAAUGUCUGGGAAACUGCCCGAUGGAGGGGGAUAACUACUGGAAACGGUAGCUAAUACCGCAUAACGUCGCAAGACCAAAGUGGGGGACCUUCGGGCCUCACACCAUCGGAUGUGCCCAGAUGGGAUUAGCUGGUAGGUGGGGUAAUGGCUCACCCAGGCGACGAUCCCUAGCUGGUCUGAGAGGAUGACCAGCCACACUGGAACUGAGACACGGUCCAGACUCCUACGGGAGGCAGCAGAGGGGAAUAUUGCACAAUGGGCGCAAGCCUGAUGCAGCCAUGCCGCGUGUAUGAAGAAGGCCUUCGGGUUGUAAAGUACUUUCAGCGGGGAGGAAGGCGAUGUGGUUAAUAACCGCAUUGAUUGACGUUACCCGCAGAAGAAGCACCGGUUAACUCCGUGCCAGCCGCCGCCGUAA
rnacentral:rRNA from 1 species